rnacentral:miRNA from 1 species
UAUUGAGUUGACCAAAAAGUUUAUUCAGUUUUUUCUAUAACAUCUUACAAAAAACCCAGAUGAACUUUUUGGCCAACCCAAU